AGCAGCUCUUCCCCCAGGCCCUGCCCUUGCACGGCCCAGCAGCAGCCAAAGCUGGAGGUGCCUGGGCUUCCAGGCCUCUGGAGCUCGUUCACAGCCCGGGGGAAUCGGGACUCGUGCACCAACUAUGUCCCUCCCUCUGCAGCUGCUCCCGCAGCCGGCCCUGAGUGCCCAGAGGCCCCAGGCACAGGAGCAGCCCCGAGCGGGAGCCCUGCUGCGAGCCCAGGGCCAGAGCCAGCCCUGCCUCCCGACUGGGCCGGGGCUGCACUGGGUCCUGACAGGGCCUGGCUCUGUCCCCUGGGGCUGGGGGAGCUGUCGCGGGGCAGGGAGGGCCAGGGCUGGCAGGGGCUGCUCAGGGAUGGGUUUGGUCCCUGUCCCUCCAAGCAGAGACGGCCCAAGCAGCUGCGCUGGCCCCGGGCUCUCCUGCCGGCCUGCUGGGCUUUGUUGGGUGGCACAGCCUGUGCCAAGGGGUGGCAAGGUGCCUGCAGGCCCCAGCUCUGGGGCAAACAGAGAACGUCCUGGCCAUAUCCACCGUGCUGCCAGCUCAGCAGUGCAGCACAGUGUGGGCUCACGCUCCCCAUUGCUCCCACAGAUGCUGCCAGCCCCACAACACCUGUUCCCGAUGCCCAGAACAGCCUCAGAAGUGGUUGCUAUUGGGAAACACACUGUUUGAUACAGUUAAUUGCAGGUCUGCUUUUUUUGGAGUUUUCCUUCAUGUUCACCUGUGUUGGAAUCUGGUGUUACUGCAAGAGAAAACGUCACACUUCUGGACAGGAGAUGGAAUAUGGUGGCUGCACCUCACACCCAGACAGCUGGUGCAGCACCUCCAGCAGUAAGAAGGGCCUGGUCAGCAUUCUCAAGAGUUGAGAGAAGAGGACCCCAGAAAAGCCAUCUACGAGGAAACCUCCUAUGACCCUGUAGAUCCCACUGCCACCUCCUCUCCCCAUGGGUAUCCACAAGCUGCCUUCAUCCAUUUUUGAUCUCCCUAUGUCCCGUCCCCUCCCAUUCCCAAGUUCUUCUGGAAAUCCCAGUAUCAGCCCAGCACCUUUCAGGCCCUACUGAGACCAACAUGGCCCUUCCUCUGCCCAUCAGCCCCCUGGCCCUGCCCUCUAAACAGGACUGUAGGUGACCCCCCCCUUCCCUCCAUCUGCCAGUGCAGGCAAUGGCCCCUUCUUCUAACUCAAUAAAGAGAUGGAGCUGUCA